rnacentral:misc_RNA from 1 species
UAUUUCAUAGAAUUGUAGUCAAAUAUAAAAUCUAGAGGUUUGUUGAUUUAAAAUUUUAUCUUCAUUAAUUGGUGGAUAAAAUGUGUUCUAGAAAUAAAUGCGACAAAAUAAAAAAUAGUUUUUGUCUGCUGUUACAACAAUUAUCAUGCUUGUAGAGAUCCCCCUGAGGAUAAAUUUUCGAUCCGCGCCUGACCUAGUAAUAGCAUCAAUAGUGAAACAGACUAUACUAUUUUAUGCAGAAUGUUCCUUGAAAAUGGCUCGAUAUACUAAGUUUUUAUGCAAAACAGACACCCAUUAUUUUUCUUAAAACAUGAUAUUGCACACCACAAGCAUCAAACAUGGCUAUGAUUUUAUUAAGCAACCUAAUGUUUAUAUUUUCAACCACUCUACACGUGGUUGAACACGAACGAUAACUCUGUUCUGAAUAUUAUCGUUUAAUGUAAAUAACCGCUAGAUGGUGAAAUAAGACUUACAUCUUAAAAGGUUUUCAUGUUUUAACAUAAAUCCAAGUAGGAUAUGAUAUGAAAAACGACCAGUACUUACGUAUUUUGAGAAUAUAAUCCGAACACUUAUACUUCCGCUCGAAAUUUCACAGAAACUGAACAAAUCUCGGUGAAGUCUCGUGAACUUCCAUUCGAGCACCUCUGGAUUUAUUACAUACUUAGCAACGAUAAAGAAAACAUUCCGAACACAUUCGCAGGGGUGUAUUAGAAGAAAUGGCGUUCCUUUAUCACAUUACUAGUAUUUCGAUGUACAAAAUGGUGUAUGGGUACCUCUUUUUAUUGACCAAAUUUCUAAAUAAACAUCUAAUAAUUCGUUCC